AUUGAACGCUGGCGGCAUGCCUUACACAUGCAAGUCGAACGGUAACGGGCCUUCGGGUGCCGACGAGUGGCGAACGGGUGAGUAAUACAUCGGAACGUGCCCGAUCGUGGGGGAUAACGAGGCGAAAGCUUUGCUAAUACCGCAUACGAUCUACGGAUGAAAGCAGGGGACCGCAAGGCCUUGCGCGGACGGAGCGGCCGAUGGCAGAUUAGGUAGUUGGUGGGAUAAAAGCUUACCAAGCCGACGAUCUGUAGCUGGACUGAGAGGAUGAUCAGCCACACUGGGACUGAGACACGGCCCAGACUCCUACGGGAGGCAGCAGUGGGGAAUUUUGGACAAUGGGCGCAAGCCUGAUCCAGCCAUGCCGCGUGCAGGAUGAAGGCCCUCGGGUUGUAAACUGCUUUUGUACGGAACGAAAAGCCUUCUUUUAAUACAGGAGGGUCAUGACGGUACCGUAAGAAUAAGCACCGGCUAACUACGUG
rnacentral:rRNA from 1 species